UAGAGACUCACACUGGCCGCUCGUUUNGACAGCCUAAUACAUGCAAGUCGAGCGAAUGGAUUAAGAGCUUGCUCUUAUGAAGUUAGCGGCGGACGGGUGAGUAACACGUGGGUAACCUGCCCAUAAGACUGGGAUAACUCCGGGAAACCGGGGCUAAUACCGGAUAACAUUUUGAACCGCAUAGGUUCGAAAUUGAAAGGCGGCUUCGGCUGUCACUUAUAGGAUAGGACCCGCGUCGCAUUAGCUAGUUGGUGAGGUAACGGCUCACCAAGGCAACGAUAGCGUAGCCGACCUGAGAGGGUAGAUACGGCCACACUGGGACUAGAGACACGGCCCAGACUCCUACGGGAGGCAGCAGUAGGGAAUCUUCCGCAAUGGACGAAAGUCUAGACGGAGCAACGCCGCGUAGAGUGAUAGAAGGCUAACGGAGUACGUAAAACUCUAGUAAGUAGGGAAGAACAAGUAGCCUAGUUGAAUAAGCUGGGCACCUNNNGACAGGACCUAACCAGAAAAGCCACGGGCCAACUAACGUGCCAACCAGCCGCGGGA
rnacentral:rRNA from 1 species